rfam:Salmo salar isolate Sally breed double haploid chromosome ssa20, whole genome shotgun sequence.
UGCACACAUGACUGUAAAUCGCUAUGGAUAAAAGCGUCUGCUAAAUGGCUAUUA